rnacentral:rRNA from 1 species
CCACCUGUUGGAUGGUGGUUUAAGCGCAAAGGAGUGCACUCUAGGCAAAUCCGGAGUGAUUAUCUGAAGCGUGAUGACGAGUCUCUUUUGAGACGAAGUGGUUGAUACCAUGCUUCCAAGAAAAGUCCCUAAGCUUCAGGCAAAAGGAAUCGUACCCCAAACCGACACAGGUGGGCGAGGAGAGUAUCCUAAGGCGUUUGAGAGAACUCGGGAGAAGGAACUCGGCAAAUUUGAACCGUAACUUCGGGAUAAGGUUCGCCUACGCAAGUAGGCCGCAGUGAAGAGGGGGUUGCGACUGUUUAUCAAAAACACAGCACUCUGCAAACACGAAAGUGGACGUAUAGGGUGUGACGCCUGCCCGGUGCCGGAAGGUUAA